UACAGAGGUCUCAAGCGUUGUUCGGAUUCAUUGGGCGUAAAGGGUGCGUAGGUGGCGCUGUAAGUCGGGUGUGAAAUUUCGGAGCUUAACUCCGAAACUGCAUUCGAUACUGCGGUGCUUGAGGACUGGAGAGGAGACUGGAAUUCAUGGUGUAGCAGUGAAAUGCAUAGAGAUGUGGAGGAACACCGAUGGCGAAGGCAGCCUCCUGGGCCAGCACUGACGCUCAUGCACGAAAGCGUGGGGAGCAAACAGG
rnacentral:rRNA from 1 species